UACAGAGGUCUCAAGCGUUGUUCGGAUUCAUUGGGCGUAAAGGGUGCGUAGGCGGCGCGGUAAGUCGGGUGUGAAUCUCGGAGCUUAACUCCGAAACUGCAUUCGAUACUGCCGUGCUUGAGGACUGGAGAGGAGACUGGAAUUACGGUGUAGCGGUGAAAUGCGUAGAUAUCGUAAGGAAGACCAGUGGCGAAGGCGGGUCUCUGGACAGUUCCUGACGCUGAGGCACGAAGGUCAGGGGAGCAAACGGG
rnacentral:rRNA from 1 species